AUUUUCCACAAUGGGCGAAAGCCUGAUGGAGCAACGCCGCGUGCAGGAUGAAUGCCUUCGGGUUGUAAACUGCUUUUAUUAGUGACGAUUAUGACGGUAGCUAAUGAAUAAGGACCUGCUAACUACGUGCCAGCAGCCGCGGUCAUACGUAGGGUCCAAGCGUUAUCCGGAUUCAUUGGGUUUAAAGGGUGCGUAGGCGGCCUUGUAAGUCAGUGGUGAAAUCUUCUCGCUUAACGAGAAAACUGCCAUUGAUACUGCUAGGCUUGAGUACAGAUGCUGUGGGCGGAAUAUGACAUGUAGUGGUGAAAUACAUAGAGAUGUCAUAGAACACCGAUUGCGAAGGCAGCUCACAAAACUGUAACUGACGCUGAGGCACGAAAGUGCGGGGAUCAAA
rnacentral:rRNA from 1 species